GAUGAACGCUGGCGGCGUGCCUAAUACAUGCAAGUCGAGCGAACAGACGAGGAGCUUGCUCCUUCGACGUUAGCGGCGGACGGGUGAGUAACACGUAGGUAACCUACCUAUAAGACUGGGAUAACUCCGGGAAACCGGAGCUAAUACCGGAUAAUAUUUCGAACCACAUGGUUCGAUAGUGAAAGAUGGCUUUGCUAUCACUUAUAGAUGGACCUGCGCCGUAUUAGCUAGUUGGUAAGGUAACGGCUUACCAAGGCAACGAUACGUAGCCGACCUGAGAGGGGGAUCGGCCACACUGGAACUGAGACACGGUCCAGACUCCUACGGGAGGCAGCAGUAGGGAAUCUUCCGCAAUGGGCGAAAGCCUGACGGAGCAACGCCGCGUGAGUGAUGAAGGUCUUCGGAUCGUAAAACUCUGUUAUUAGGGAAGAACAAACGUGUAAGUAACUGUGCACGUCUUGACGGUACCUAAUCAGAAAGCCACGGCUAACUACGUG
rnacentral:rRNA from 1 species